rnacentral:rRNA from 1 species
ACGCUAUCACUCCUACGGGAGGCAGCAGUAGGGAAUUUUCCGCAAUGGACGAAAGUCUGACGGAGCAAUGCCGCGUGAGUGAUGAAGGUUUUCGAAUCGUAAAGCUCUGUUGUAAGGGAAGAAUAGCAAGGAUAGGAAAUGCUCCUUGUCUGACGGUACCUUACCAGAAAGCCACGGCUAACUACGUGCCAGCAGCCGCGGUAAUACGUAGGUGGCAAGCGUUAUCCGGAAUUAUUGGGCGUAAAGCGCAUGUAGGCGGGCCGGUAAGUCAGGGGUGAAAGUCUGUAGCUCAACUAUAGAACUGCCUUUGAUACUGCCGGUCUUGAGUCACGGUGAAGUUGCCGGAAUAUGUGGUGUAGCGGUGAAAUGCAUAGAUAUCACAUAGAACACCGAUUGCGAAGGCAGGUGACUAACCGUGUACUGACGCUGAUGGACGAAAGCGUGGGGAGCAAACAGGAUUAGAUACCCUGGUAG